rnacentral:rRNA from 1 species
GCGACCUCAGCUCAGGUGAGAACACCCACUGUGUUUAAGCAUAUAAUUAAGCAGAGGAAAAGAAAUUUACAAGGAUUCCCCUAGUAGCAGCAAGCGUACCGGGAAGAUAUCAACAUGGAAAUCAGGUGGCAAUGUCGCUUGAAUUUUAUUCUGUAGAAGCAUCCUCAGCGGCGGACCUAGGCCAAGUCCCUUGAAAGGGGGUACCUGAGAGGGUGAAAACCUCAUCGAGUCAAGACCCUGCCGCAUCAUGAGGAAUUUUCGACGAGUCGGGUUGUUUGGGAAUGUAGCGCUAAUUGGGUGGUAAAUUUCGUCCAAGGCUAAAUAUGAGCAAGAGAUUGAUAGAAAAAAAUUAUCAUGAGGAAAAGAUGAAAUGAUUUUCAAAAGAGAGAUAAAGAGUGCUUGAAAAUGCCAAGAGGGAAGCAGAUGGAGGAUGUCGAUGCGUCUCAGUCAGAUGUGGAAUGCCUCAGGAUGAUCAACCGCUCAACUUGAGGUGAAAACCAACACGAGUUGCUGCAUCAUCACAAGUGUGGGUGGACUACUACCUAUCAAUUUUCCAUUGCAGUGGUUGAGGAAUGAAGUAUGUGCCCUUGUGGCAGUCUAUGUGCACCUACGCACUCAUGGUGUUGGUUGGCGGGCUUUCCAUUCAACCUGUCUGAAACACAGACCAAGGAGUCUAACAUGUGUGCGAGUUUGUGGGUUUGAAAACCUACAAGGCGCAAGGACUCUGACAGUUGAGAUCCCCUCUCUUGGCGGUGCAUCGUCAACCGACCUUGAGCUUAUGCGAAGGCUUCAAGUGUGAGCACACCUUUUGUGACCCGAAAGAUGGUGAGCUAUGCUUGAGCAGGGCGAUCCCAGAGGAAACUCUAGUGGAGGCUCGUAGCAAUACUCACAUGAAAAUCAUUCAUUUGGCUUGGGUAUAGGGUUGAAAGAAUAAUUGAACCAUCUAGUAGCUGGUUUCCUUCAAAGUUUCCCUCACGAUAGUUGAAGCUCACACACUAGUUUUAUCGGGUAAAUAAAAUGAUUAGAGGCAUUGGGGGUGUAACAUCCUCGACCUAUUCUUAGACUUUAAAUGGGUAAGAGGGUGUGGCUGCUCCAUUGAGCUGUGCCAUGGAAUCAACAACUCCAAGUGGGCCAUUUUUAGUAAGCAGAAUUGGCAAUGUGGGAUGAACUGAAAUCAAGUUAUGGUCCCAAAUUACAUGCUAAACUAGAUCCCACAAAGGGUGUUGGUUGAUUAAGACAUCAUCAUGGUGGUCACGAAAGUCAAAAUUUUCCAAGGGGUGUGUCACAAAUCACCUACCAAAUAAACUAGCCCCAAAAAUGGAUGGCGUUGAAACGUGCAACCUAUACUUGACCAUCAGAGCAAUUUCCUGGCUUUGAUGAGUAGGAGGACGUGGGGGUCGUUGAGAAACCUCAGGCGUAGCAAAUAUUCAAAUGAGAACUUUUGAGACUAAAGUGGGGAAAGGUUCCAUGUGAACAAUACUUUGACAUGGGUUAGUCGAUCCUAAUAGAUGGGGAAGCCUUGUAUCAAGGGUGCACUCUACAUGAGCAUUGAAAGGGAAUCAGGUUAAUAUUCCCGAACCGGGACAUGGCAGAAGGUGGAAACAUUAGGAAAUCUAGAGAUGUCAUCGAGGGCCCCCAGAAGAGUUAUCUUUUCUUUGUAGCAACUUUCCCACCUUAGAAUGGGUUCACCUGGAGAUAGAGACCAACAGUUGGAAGAGCACUGCAUGCCUUGUGGUGUCCAGUGUGCCCUUAGUGGCCCUUCAAAAUCUAGAGGACUAAUUACCAUUCAUGCCUGGUCAUAAUCAUAACCACAUCAGGUCUCCAACGUGAAUAUCCUCUAAUCAAUAGAACAAUGUAGGUAAGGGAAUUCGCCAAAACAGAUCCGUAACUUCGGUAAAAGGAUUGGCUCUGAGGGCUGGGCCUAGUGGUCUAUGGCCUCAACGUGUGGGCUAUCGGUAGUCUACCCGAGCUACUCUCACAGCGAGGGUGGGGAGUCGCGUGCCGAUACAGCUACUGGUGUAGAAUGCCCCUUACCAAGGGAUUUUCUGUAGGUGACAAACAGUCGACUUAGAACUGGUACGAACAAGGAGAAUUUGAUUGUUUAAUAAAAACAAAGCAUUGCGAUAGUCCCUUCAGAUGAUGAUGCAAUUUGAUUUCUGUCGAGUGCUCUGAAUGUCAAAGUGAAGAAAUUCAACCAAGCGUGGGUAAAUGGUGGGAUUAACUAUGACUCUCUUUAGGUAGCCACAUGCCUCGUCAUCUAAUUAGUGACGUCCAUGAAUGGAUUAAUGAUAUUCCCACUAUCCCUAUCUACUAUCUAGUGAAACCACUGCCAAGGGAACGGGCUUGGAAGAAUCAGCGGGGAAAGAAGACUUUGUUGAGCUUGCUCUAGUCUGACAAGUGAAAUACCACUACUUUUAACUUUAUUUUAGUUAUUCUGUGGGACAAAGAUGGGGCACUGCCCCUAUUUUUGGCCUUACGACACAUUUCGGUGGGUCGAUUAGAGAAGAAGACAUUGUCAAGUGGGGAGUUUGGCUGGGGUGACACAUCUGUUAAAACAUAACGCAGGUGUCCUAAGAUGAGCUCAACGAGAACAUAAAUCUCGUGUUGAACAAAAGGGUAAAGUCUCAUUUGAUUUUGAUUUUUAGUACGAAUACAAACUGUGAAAGCGCCACCUAUUGAUCCUUCAGAUUUUCAUAAUUUGAAACUAGAGGUGUUAGAAAAGUUACCACAGGGAUAACUGGCUUGUGGCAGCCAAGGGUUCAUAGCGAUGUUGCUUUUUGAUACUUCGAUGUUGGCUCUUCCUAUCAUUGUGAAGCAGAAUUCACCAAGUUUUGGAUUGUUCACUCACCAAUAGGGAAUGUGAGCUAGGUUUAAACCAUCGUGACAUAGGUUAGUUUUACCCUAGUGAUGAACUGCACCACUAUACUAAUUCAACUUGGUAUGAGAUGAACCAUUGAUUGACACAAUUGGUCAUCGUGCUUGGUUGAAAAGACAAUGAAGCGAAGCUACCUUGUGUCAGAUUAUGACUGAAUGGUUCUAAGUCAGAAUCCACACUAGAAGCGAUGUAUGUCACUCUUCAACUGUAUCUCGACCCAAAGUAGGAGCGUCACUUUGUCACCCCUAGGGGCUCGUGUCAUUUGCAAACCGUGAUCAUGAAGCAUAUCAAUCGAGGAAAAUUUGAAGUUC